rnacentral:misc_RNA from 1 species
GAUGAAGAACGUAGUGAAAUGCGAUACUUGGUGUGAAUUGCAGAAUCCCGUGAACCAUCGAGUCUUUGAACGCAAGUUGCGCCCGAAGCCACUAGGCCGAGGGCACGCCUGCCUGGGCGUCACACGUCGUUGCCCCCCACCAUCUACUCCUUCGGGAUUGCGGGGGGCGGAUGAUGGCCUCCCGUGCGCCUAGCCGCGCGGUUGGCAUAAAUACCAAGUCCUCGGCGACGCACGCCACGACAAGCGGUGGUUGCGAAACCUCGGUUGCCCGUCGUGUGCGUUCGUCGCGCAUCGAGGGCUCGAAAAAAUGCUCGGCUCCGGCUCGGCUUUCAACGCGACCCCAGGUCAGGCGGGGUUACCCGCUGAAUUUAAGCAUAUCAAUAAGCGGAGGA